rnacentral:misc_RNA from 1 species
UAAAGUGCGAUAUCUAGUGCGAUUUGCAUGAACCUGUGAGUCAUCGAGUUUUUGAACGCAACUUGCACCCGUAAGGGUAUGUCCCUUUGAGUAUAGAACCAAAAUAUAUGUUGGGUGAUGCUAAGGCGGAAGCUAGCAGCUCACCUUAAAGGUAGCGUUAAGGUUCAAAGGAACAUUAGUAGCCAUACUUCAGUGUGCAGUUAGUGUGUGAAGGUUACACACAGGCUGCUUAGCUGUUCUACUAAGAUCCUCUUAUAUCCUGUCUCAAAGGGGCAAGAUCACCCGCUGAACUUAA